AAGUAUCGCAUUUUGCUACGUUCUUCAUCGAUGCGUGAGCCGAGAUAUCCGUUGCCGAGAGUCGUUUGUGAUUACAAAGAUGCCACACCCCAUGAGCACACCGCGAACGGGACUUCAUUGGGAUGGGCAAUUCUUCAGUUUAAAGUUCCUUGGCACAUCCCGUGCCUGGGUUUUGUUACGUCAAAGCAACCACUCAAGAUGACCCACUGGGCCAACGAGGCAGGCACAUCAACGGUAUGCCAGGACGACUCAAACGGAUGCUCAAUACAUCCUGGCAUGAUUGUUUUAACAUGUUCGCGGGUCGUUCUGCUUUGCAGGGCUUCGACAAUGAUCC
rnacentral:misc_RNA from 1 species